CCUACGGGUGGCAGCAGUGAGGAAUAUUGGUCAAUGGUCGGGAGACUGAACCAGCCAAGCCGCGUGAGGGAGGAAGGUACAGAGUAUCGUAAACCUCUUUUGUCAGGGAACAAAGACUGGGAUGCGUCCCCGGAAGAGUGUACCUGACGACAAACCAUCGGCUAACUCCGUUCCAGGAGCCGCGGUAAUACGGAGGUUUCCAGCGUUAUCCGGAUUUAUUGGGUUUAAAGGGUGUGUAGUCGGUCGGACAAGUCAGAUGUGAAAUCCCGAGGCUCAACUGCGGAAUUGCCUCUGAUACUGUUCGGCUAGAGAGUAGUAGCGGUAGGCGGAAUGUAUGGUGUAGCGGUGAAAUGCGUAGAGAUCAUGCAGAACACCGGUGGCGAAGGCAGCUUAC
rnacentral:rRNA from 1 species